rnacentral:rRNA from 1 species
AUAGGGCGUUUAGUAUUUGGUCGUAGACCCGAAACCAGGUGAUCUACCCUUGGUCAGGUUGAAGUUCAGGUAACACUGAAUGGAGGACCGAACCGACUUACGUUGAAAAGUGAGCGGAUGAACUGAGGGUAGCGGAGAAAUUCCAAUCGAACCUGGAGAUAGCUGGUUCUCUCCGAAAUAGCUUUAGGGCUAGCCUCAAGUGAUGAUUAUUGGAGGUAGAGCACUGUUUGGACGAGGGGCCCCUCUCGGGUUACCGAAUUCAGACAAACUCCGAAUGCCAAUUAAUUUAACUUGGGAGUCAGAACAUGGGUGAUAAGGUCCGUGUUCGAAAGGGAAACAGCCCAGACCACCAGCUAAGGUCCCAAAAUAUAUGUUAAGUGGAAAAGGAUGUGGCGUUGCCCAGACAACUAGGAUGUUGGCUUAGAAGCAGCCAUCAUUUAAAGAGUGCGUAAUAGCUCACUAGUCGAGUGACACUGCGCCGAAAAUGUACCGGGGCUAAACAUAUUACCGAAGCUGUGGAUUGUCCUUUGGACAAUGGUAGGAGAGCGUUCUAAGGGCGUUGAAGCAUGAUCGUAAGGACAUGUGGAGCGCUUAGAAGUGAGAAUGCCGGUGUGAGUAGCGAAAGACGGGUGAGAAUCCCGUCCACCGAUUGACUAAGGUUUCCAGAGGAAGGCUCGUCCGCUCUGGGUUAGUCGGGUCCUAAGCUGAGGCCGACAGGCGUAGGCGAUGGAUAACAGGUUGAUAUUCCUGUACCACCUAUAAUCGUUUUAAUCGAUGGGGGGACGCAGUAGGAUAGGCGAAGCGUGCGAUUGGAUUGCACGUCUAAGCAGUAAGGCUGAGUAUUAGGCAAAUCCGGUACUCGUUAAGGCUGAGCUGUGAUGGGGAGAAGACAUUGUGUCUUCGAGUCGUUGAUUUCACACUGCCGAGAAAAGCCUCUAGAUAGAAAAUAGGUGCCCGUACCGCAAACCGACACAGGUAGUCAAGAUGAGAAUUCUAAGGUGAGCGAGCGAACUCUCGUUAAGGAACUCGGCAAAAUGACCCCGUAACUUCGGGAGAAGGGGUGCUCUUUAGGGUUAACGCCCAGAAGAGCCGCAGUGAAUAGGCCCAAGCGACUGUUUAUCAAAAACACAGGUCUCUGCUAAACCGUAAGGUGAUGUAUAGGGGCUGACGCCUGCCCGGUGCUGGAAGGUUAAGAGGAGUGGUUAGCUUCUGCGAAGCUACGAAUCGAAGCCCCAGUAAACGGCGGCCGUAACUAUAACGGUCCUAAGGUAGCGAAAUUCCUUGUCGGGUAAGUUCCGACCCGCACGAAAGGCGUAACGAUUUGGGCACUGUCUCAACGAGAGACUCGGUGAAAUCAUAGUACCUGUGAAGAUGCAGGUUACCCGCGACAGGACGGAAAGACCCCGUGGAGCUUUACUGUAGCCUGAUAUUGAAAUUCGGCACAGCUUGUACAGGAUAGGUAGGAGCCUUUGAAACGUGAGCGCUAGCUUACGUGGAGGCGCUGGUGGG